GAAAAAACGAUGAGAAAGAAUAGUACACUUGCCUCCCGUGCAAAGAGAGUCUGUGGUUGGUGCAAACAGAAGACGGAGCAAUUGGAAUGGACUUUUGAGUGGCUUUAUGAAAUGAGUAGUAAAGCACGUCACUUCACGUUACGAAGUCUAAGUGGUCAUUUUUGACAAACUGGGUGGUACCGCGGAUUCAACAUCAUUCGUCCCUUUA
rnacentral:ncRNA from 1 species